UACCAGCACCCCGAGUGGUCGGGACGAUUAUUGGGCCUAAAGCAUCCGUAGCCGGUCCUACAAGUCUUCCGUUAAAUCCACCUGCUUAACAGAUGGGCUGCGGAAGAUACUAUAGGGCUAGGAGGCGGGAGAGGCAAGCGGUACUCAGUGGGUAGGGGUAAAAUCCUCUGAUCCAUUGAAGACCACCAGUGGCGAAGGCGGCUUGCCAGAACGCGCUCGACGGUGAGGGAGUGAAAGCUGGGGGAGCAAACCGGG
rnacentral:rRNA from 1 species